AUACAGGUCUGUCAUUUUAUACUGUAGUUGUUGUAAAUGAGAAAAGGAUGUAGACUCUUGUAGAAAAGGUCUCCAUGGUCAAGAUUGAUAUGACUUCAAUCUAUAACUACAUGUCAGCUGAAUCAGACAUUCAUUUCUGGAAUGGCAGCUGAUAGAGAUGAAUGUCCCCAAAGGUCUCAGGUGAGGAAUGAUCCUCUUACGAAGACGUCGUUGGGGUUAGCUUUCACGUUAUGGUUUAGAUGGAUGACCCAAUGUGAAAAGCAUUUGUGCAAUUCCCGAACGAAAAUAAUACGAAUUUAAAUUAAUCGGAAAUUGGGUGUAAUCAACAUUUAAUCUGGUCAAAAUAUUAAUCAACAUAAAUAAUCGCUAUAUUGUGUGUUGGCCCGCAUUAUUGUGUUAUUGUUAUGUUAUUUUCCGUAUCUGAACCCAACAAUUGAAUGAUUUAUGCAUCGAAUGAAAAAUUUAUAGGCUCAGUUGGAAACUUUGUUGGAUGAAGAAUACAGGGACGUGUAUAAAACUACGAGGAUCUGCGACAGCAUAGCCAUCAAGCAAAAAUAACACCAAACUAUUCAAUAUUCCAUUGAAAUUGCUGUUUCUAAUGACGUCCAGUCAUAAAUUGGCGAAAAAUCAACUGAACUGGAACAAAUUAUCACACCAAGUUGACACUUCACAAUGACACAAAAAUUCAUCAUGUUCCAAACUAUGGAGAGUAAAAUUACAUCUGUCAAUUUAGAACUUCUUGGAAGAUGUAUACUUCGAAUAUAAUUAAGCUUUUCCGGGUGAUAUAGAUGAAAAAUUAUAAGUUUCAAACAUUAAUUGAUGAGAAAAAACGAGACUUUAAACUUUAAUUCAUCUCAGACCCAAGGUAACACAAUUUACGCAAUACAAGAAUCAUCAUUACUCCAAUGAAAAGAAAAAAAAAGCUAUGAGUAUUUCCUUCUAGAAAUUAAGCCUUAGAGAUAUCAUUCUAUUGAAGUUGAAAGGGCAAAGAACUAUUAGAAUAGAAGCAUUAUCUAAUACAGGAUAAUAUAUGAUUACAAUAAGAUAUUUGUUUUUACUGGAAAAUGACAAUAAAAUUUUUGCAAGUU